UACGGAGGGUGCAAGCGUUAUCCGGAAUCACUGGGUUUAAAGGGUGCGUAGGCGGGUUAUUAAGUCAGUGGUGAAAGCUGGUCGCUCAACGAUCAAAUUGCCAUUGAUACUGAUAGCCUUGAAUUGAGUUGAGGUUAGCGGAAUGUGACAUGUAGCGGUGAAAUGCGUAGAUAUGUCAUGGAACACCAAUUGCGAAGGCAGCUAGCUAGGCUUAUAUUGACGCUGAGGCACGAAAGCGUGGGUAGCGAACAGG
rnacentral:rRNA from 1 species